rnacentral:rRNA from 1 species
UCGAGAUGGGGAUAGCCAUUAGGAAAUAGUGGACUAAUACCGAAUAAGCUCAUGACCCUGUGGGGAUAUGAGGAAAACAGGCUACGGCCUGGCUCGAGGAUGGGCCCGCGUCCCAUUAGCUAGUUGGUGAGGUAACGGCCCACCAAGGCGACGAUGGGUAUCCGGCCUGAGAGGGUGUACGGACACAUUGGGACUGAGAUACGGCCCAAACUCCUACGGGAGGCAGCAGCUAAGAAUAUUCCGCAAUGGACGAAGUCUGACGGAGCGACGCCGCGUGGAUGAAGAAGGCCCGGAAGGUUGUAAAAUCCUUUUGCUGAUGAAGAAUAAGUGUGGUAGGGAAUGACCGCAUGAUGACAUUAGUCGGUGAAUAAGCCCCGGCUAACUACGUGCCAGCCGCUGC